UACGGGGGGAGCAAGCGUUGUUCGGAUUCAUUGGGCGUAAAGGGCGCGUAGGCGGCUUGGCAAGUCCGACAUGAAAUGUACCGGUUCAACCGGGGCACUGUGUCGGAAACUGCCUGGCUUGAGGUCGAGGGAGGAGAGUGGAAUUCCUGGUGUAGCGGUGAAAUGCGUAGAUAUCAGGAGGAACACCGGUGGUGUAGACGGCUUUCUGGACCGUAGCUGACGCUGAGACACGAAAGCGUGGGUAGCAAACAGG
rnacentral:rRNA from 1 species